UGGGGAAUAUUGCACAAUGGGCGCAAGCCUGAUGCAGCCAUGCCGCGUGUGUGAAGAAGGCCUUCGGGUUGUAAAGCACUUUCAGCGGGGAGGAAGGCGAUAAGGUUAAUAACCUUGUCGAUUGACGUUACCCGCAGAAGAAGCACCGGCUAACUCCGUGCCAGCAGCCGCGGUAAUACGGAGGGUGCAAGCGUUAAUCGGAAUUACUGGGCGUAAAGCGCACGCAGGCGGUUUGUUAAGUCAGAUGUGAAAUCCCCGGGCUCAACCUGGGAACUGCAUCUGAUACUGGCAAGCUUGAGUCUCGUAGAGGGGGGUAGAAUUCCAGGUGUAGCGGUGAAAUGCGUAGAGAUCUGGAGGAAUACCGGUGGCGAAGGCGGCCCCCUGGACGAAGACUGACGCUCAGGUGCGAAAGCGUGGGGAGCAAACAGG
rnacentral:rRNA from 1 species